CCUACGGGAGGCAGCAGUGGGGAAUCUUGCGCAAUGGGCGAAAGCCUGACGCAGCCAUGCCGCGUGUAUGAUGAAGGUCUUAGGAUUGUAAAAUACUUUCACCGGUGAAGAUAAUGACUGUAGCCGGAGAAGAAGCCCCGGCUAACUUCGUGCCAGCAGCCGCGGUAAUACGAAGGGGGCUAGCGUUGCUCGGAAUUACUGGGCGUAAAGGGAGCGUAGGCGGACAUUUAAGUCAGAGGUGAAAUCCCGGAGCUUAACUUCGGAACUGCCUUUGAUACUGGGUGUCUUGAGUGUGAGAGAGGUAUGUGGAACUCCGAGUGUAGAGGUGAAAUUCGUAGAUAUUCGGAAGAACACCAGUGGCGAAGGCGACAUACUGGCUCAUUACUGACGCUGAGGCUCGAAAGCGUGGGGAGCAAACAGGAUUAGAUACCCUGGUAGUCCACGCCGUAAACGAUGAUUGCUAGUUGUCGGGAAGCUUGCUUCUCGGUGACGCAGCUACGCAUAGACAUCCGCCGUCGGGAGGUACGGUCGCGAGAAUAAACUACAAGAAGUAGACGCGNGAGAGNGCGACGGACGACGACGAGGGAGGAGG
rnacentral:rRNA from 1 species